CCUAUGGGUGGCAGCAGUGAGGAAUAUUGGUCAAUGGCCGGAAGGCUGAACCAGCCAUGCCGCGUGAAGGUCAGUGCCCUAUGGGCGUUAAACUUCUUUUGUGCGGGAGCAAUAAUGGUCACGUGUGGCCAGACGAGAGUACCGUACGAAUAAGCAUCGGCUAACUCCGUGCCAGCAGCCGCGGUAAGACGGGGGAUGCAAGAGUUAUCCGGAAUUUAUGGGUUUAAAGGGUGCGUGGGGUGUGAGGUAAGUCAGAGGUGAAAAGCCCCCGCGCAACGGGGGGAAGGGCCAUGGAUACUGGCUUGCUGGAAUGCGGAUGCGGUGGGAGGAAUGUGUGGUGUAGCGGUGAAAUGCGUAGAUAUCACACAGAACACCGAUUGCGAAGGCAUCUCACGAAUCCGCGAUUGACGCUGAGGCACGAAAGCGUGGGUAUCAAACAGGAUUAGAUACCCCGGUAGUC
rnacentral:rRNA from 1 species